AAAUGACAUCUCUAUCCCCAGUGUUGGACUCGCCUGGCUUAUUAGAUGAGAGCAGUGGGCAGCCCUCUCAUUGUGACCACCAGUGUCGGAGGUGUCCCUGUAGCCAUCACCCCAAGCCUUAGCCCAACGAAGCCCCCACUCCCCCAGCAGCAGUCCAGAGGCUGAAUCUCGACUGUAAGAGCCAACCUGUCUGCACCCACAACCUUUGUUCGCAGCUUAUUGGUCCAACCUUCCCUUCAAUCUUCUCCAGGCCAGUGGGCCUGGUGCUCUGGCACUGGGAUCCCACUAAGGAAGACCUUCUUCUCCACCUGUGAACUGAAACAUUUCUCCCAAGUGGAAAAUAAGGAGGCAUCAGAGACUCUUGGCAUAAAAAGGAAGGAGCCCAUCCACCAGGAAAAUACCAUUACUGGCCUAAUUGCAGAGAUUUCACUUGGAAAAAAUUGAUCUGGGUCAGCAGGAGCUGUUUCUGCCUUGUCUUCCAGCCUUGCUUCCUGCACGCAGACACCAUAAUUAUAGGCGAAUUCAGCUGAGUUGACAUAACAAGCAAGAGGAUGUCACAAAACUGGCAAGAUGAAAGGACGACCAAGAAAAUUGAAGAUGACUACUUUGUAUUCCACUUUUCCUAAGACUGGGAACUUCAGAAAUCCACAAACUAAAACAUAGGCUAUCUAAACUUAAGUAAAAGAAGCAAAAGGGGAUGGAACUGUAUAUUCUCAUGUAUACAUAAAAGUGACACUUUUCUGGUUUAAACUAUAAUAAUAGUUUGCACAUUGAAUUAGGUAAGAUGAAAUCUAGAACUUUCCAUUUUUGUUUCCAUUCAUGUGUCUCUGAAGCACAGACUUUCAAUUUGUACAAUGCAUUUUAUUUGGAUGUUUAUUUAAUCUCCAUACUUAGGUAAUCUAAAAUCUAGAGUGUUCCUAGUAAAAUCCUGACAUGUGUGCGCUAGGAUACACGUGCAGAAACAGUCAUGGUAGGGCCGGGUGCGGUGGCUCACCCCUGUAAUCCCAGCAGCUUAGGAGGCUGAGGCAGGUGGAUCAUUUGAUGUCAGGAGUUCAAGACCAGCCUGGCCAACAUGCCCCGUCUCUACUAAAAAUACAAAAAUUAGCCUGGCGAUAGUGGCGCAUGCCUGUAAUCUCAGCUACUCGGGAGGCUGAGGCAGGAGAAUCGCUUGAGCCCGGGAGGUGGAGGUUGUGGUGAGCUGAGGUCGCACCACUGCACUCCAGUCUGGGUGAGAGUGAGACUCCAUCUCAAAAAAAAAAAAACAAAACAAAAUAACAGUCAUGAGUCAUGGAAGCAUUAUUUAUAGGUGCUCCAAACUGGAAAUACCUUAACUGUCCAUCAACAGAAGAAAGGAUCAAUAAAUUAUGUAAUAUCUGCUGGAUAAGGAGGUGUGCACCUGCAGUGCCAGCUACUCAGGAGGCUGAGGCAGAAGGAUUGCUUGAGCCCGGGAUUUCAAGGCUGUAGUGAGCUGUAAUCACGACAUUGCACUCCAGCCUGAGUGAUAGAGCAAGACCUUGUCUCUUAAAAAAAAUUAUGCAGUAUACAUAACGUGGAAUACUAUACUACAAUGAGAGUGAACAAAUUAGAGCUACAAGACACAACAUAUAGUGUUUAGACCUCCCCAAAAAGCCAAAAAAUACACACAGUAUGACUUAUUUCUUUAAAACUCAAACACAAAGAAUGAACACAUGAAUAGUUAAAGUAUAAAGGUCAAGAGAUGCUGCGCACGGUGGCUCAUGCCUGUAAUCCUAAGGUGAGUGGAUCACCUGAGGUCAGGAGUUCGAGACCAG
rnacentral:lncRNA from 10 species